rnacentral:lncRNA from 1 species
GGGGCCUGCGUGGGGCUCGGGGCGCACGUGUCGCGGGAAAUGGAGUGGACACCGGGGGCUUCAGGGGAAGACAUCCAAACGACCGGGAGUCACGCGUGGAUUCUUUCGCGCGAGGGCUUCUGGAAUCCAUUUUGUCCGUAGAGUGGAUAGAAGCCCCUGAAUCGUAUUUCUGGAGGCAGCCCUACCCCCACUGCCAGGAAAUUACCAAGCAUGUCCUGAAGAUGAAGAUACUCUCAGCCUAACGUCUCCAAGCAAAUAUUGAUUCAGCAGUAUCCCCAGGCAAAGCCACACCAUAUAUCAGUGAACAGAGAAACAACUGCCCUUCUCCGGGCCCCUGUCUGAGAAGCUGGAGCAUCAGCCCUGGAGCUCUCUGGAGCAGUUUCCUUGCUCACUGCCCCCAGCUGAACACAGGACCACUUACCCAUGGGUG